GUGGGAUUAGCUAGUUGGUGAGGUAAUGGCUCACCAAGGCGACGAUCCCUAGCUGUUCUGAGAGGAUGAUCAGCCACACUGGGACUGAGGCACGGCCCAGACUCCUACGGGAGGCAGCAGUGGGGAAUAUUGCACAAUGGGGGAAACCCUGAUGCAGCCAUGCCGCGUGUGUGAAGAAGGCCUUCGGGUUGUAAAGCACUUUCAGUAGGGAGGAAAGGUAGCAGCUUAAUACGCUGUUGCUGUGACGUUACCUACAGAAGAAGGACCGGCUAACUCCGUGCCAGCAGCCGCGGUAAUACGGAGGGUCCGAGCGUUAAUCGGAAUUACUGGGCGUAAAGCGUGCGCAGGCGGUUUGUUAAGCGAGAUGUGAAAGCCCCGGGCUCAACCUGGGAAUUGCAUUUCGAACUGGCGAACUAGAGUCUUGUAGAGGGGGGUAGAAUUCCAGGUGUAGCGGUGAAAUGCGUAGAGAUCUGGAGGAAUACCGGUGGCGAAGGCGGCCCCCUGGACAAAGACUGACGCUCAGGCACGAAAGCGUGGGGAGCAAACAGGAUUAGAUACCCUGGUAGUCCACGCCGUAAACGAUGUC
rnacentral:rRNA from 1 species